AGUCCCUCCUCCUACGAACUUCCUCAGUCCCUCCUCCUCCUACGAACUUCCUCAGUCCCUCCUCCUCCUACGAACUUCGUUUCUUCAUGAUUUCCUCUCUCCUUCCUGCAGUUAUGCUCUCAACCUCUCACCAUAUGUACUAGAUUCGCAGCAACCUGAAGAUUCAUGAUAUCUGGUCGAGGAUUGGAUUCUCUAGCAAGAUGUAGAUGGUUGGUUUUCCUGGAAAAAUAUUCAUUCAAUUGAGAAACAAACACUGUGUUCUUCUUCAAUGGGAAGGUGGAAAAUCGGACUCCAUAUCUCUUCAAGGAGAUACAGACUUGGAUCAUGAAGAGGUUUCAUGCCAAUCCAAGCACAAACAUUGAACUGAAAUAUCUGUCAGAGCUGUCUAUUGGGGAAUCAGAACUUUCAUCCCUUUUCUUAGGAAUCAGAACUUCAGUUAAGGUUAUUUAUCUAUCAGGAAACCUUUCUUUCUGAAACUUUCAUUAAUUUAAUCUUUGAACUUGCAGAGUGAUCAUCUAAACCUGUUCAUCGUACACUUGAAGGAUUUGAGCUCAUUGUGUUCUGUACUUUAAGGAAACUGUUAGAGAACUUCAUCCAAGUUUGUCGUAGUCUGAAGAAUCACAUAGCAUAAUUACUGAUACACUUAAGCAGCUGGAGUCUGCUGUAUUCAGAUUGCGAGAGCUUAAGCUUCAGAGAUGCAGAAGACCCAGGAGCAACAAAAUCGCGCUAAAACCAGCAUACUGGAACCUCUUUUCCACACAACUUCAACAAUGUCAGCAGCAGUGGAGCAAACUCCGCAACCCUUCAUUCUUCGUCUUCAACAAUCCCUCGUCUCCUGCUCCAAGGCAGUUGAAGCUGGUGAUUUUCGUCAAUCGGAAUAAGUAAUUUCUGGGAUUGUUGAGUUUCUCAGCUCAAUUUCUGAUGUUGCUGUUUCAGAUUUUGACGAUAAAGAAACCCAGAACAAUUCAAUCGUUGUUCUCUCUCAUAUUCACUCUUUCCUUUGAAACCCUUCUCUUGAUCAGGUCUACACUCCGAGGAUUGCGCCUUAUGCGAGGAAUUUGAUGUGGUUCGUGAGCAAUGGGCUAAGUUUUUUACCAGCAAGUAUUUAUUAUUGGCUUUAGCGCGCUUGAUCGAGUUGGUUUAGUUGUUAUAGAAUAAAUUUUAUAUUAAAAUGUAUGUUUAUGUUGAAAUUGGAACAUAUAUUUAAAUGUAAUAUGUGCACUUUGGUUUUGGGAUAUAUAGUAUACAAAACUCCAGUUGUUGUUUUUAUAUUUGUUA